UUUUUUUUUUUUUUCUAGUAACACAAAUAGACUAACUCAGAACAUUGGUAUUGAGGAGUGGAACAUUGCUAUAAGGAUACCUGAAAAUGUGGAAGCAGCUUUGGAAUCAGGUAACAGGCAGAGAGGUUAGAAGAAUUUGGAGGACUCAGAAGAAGACAGGAAGAUGAGGGAAAGUUUGGAAUUUCUUAGAGACUAUUAAAUGGUUGUCACCAAAAUGCUGAUAGACAUAUGGACUGUGAAAGCCAGGCUGAUGAAAUCUCAGAUGGAAAUGAGAAACUUAUUGGGAACUGGUGUAAAGGUCACGCUUGUUAAAUCCUAAGAAACAACUUGGCUGCAUUGUGUUCAUGCCCUAGGGAUCUGUGGAAGGUUGACCUUAAGAGUGAUGACUUAGGGCAUCUGUGGAAGACAUUUCUAAGCAGAUGUUUCUAAGGUGUGACCUGGUUGCUUCUAACAGUCUAUGGUCUCUUCCUGAUUCAGGAGAGAUUUAUCCAAGAGUCUGGCACCUUUUAGGUUCUGAUAAGAGACAUUGACCAUCUCUUCUCUCUGGAACGUGGAGGCUUCAUCUACAUAACAAGAAACUUGGCUUCCACAACCCCCUUAUCUUAAGCAUUGCUUUUUGCUGACUUCAACUUUUUAGAUAAUUUAACUUUUUCAGCCAAUUGCCAAUCAGAAAAUCUUCAAAUCCACCUAUGAUUUGGAAUUCCCCACUUUGAAUUGUCCUGCUUUUCCAAACCAAACCAAACCAAUGUAUACUUUACAUGUA
rnacentral:lncRNA from 1 species